AAAAUUCAAACUGAACAAACGGGCCUUUUUUCCUCUGGUUUUAAGACUCCAAAACAGAAAGCACAAAGGGCCCAUGCUCAUGUCUAAUACACUUUUGACAAGUUGGUCAGGGAGAAGAAACUAGGACUCAGAGUUGACAGAAAAGUGAGUACAAGUGGUGGCUGAAUUCCUCAAGAAAAUUUACUCAGAAGAAAUAUUCUAUUCAGGUUUGUGGCAUGUUCCUUUGAAUUCCAUGAGGUGAAUACUUAAGGUGAGGCCAAUGCUGCUGGUACAUGGACCACCCUUUGAGUAGCAAGCAUCUUGGUGACAUAAAAGGAAGGCAUGAACAAAAACCUCUUUUGAUGAACAGUUCGUGAGGAUUUUAUUGAUGAAUAAACUAGAAAUUUUCAUACAUCGGAAGGAAGAAUCUCAAAGUUCCUCUGUUCUAUUCCUAUUUAAUGAGAGCUUGGUUAAAGGUCAUGAAUUCCUGGUGCCCAGUGACCCUGAAGUUGGCAGAAAGCAAAGUGGACAUUCUGGACCUCAAUAAUCUCUGUUUCUAAUAGAAAGGAGCACCAAGGAUAGCCAGAGUCCAUCAAAGUGAUUUCUAUUUUUUGGUGUUUUCUUAUAUUUAAUGGUAAAAAUCUAUGCAAAACCAUCACAUCUGAAUUCAUACAUAUAAACCAAGAGAUGACAAAGAGACCACACAUAGUGAUUGGUAGAGUGCUGGAAAUACCUGCUGACUGAAAUGCUUUUCAAAACAGAUUAAUUGCUGCUCAUUUCUCUGCUACUCUAAGAAGGUCUGACACCGCACAGCUUUCGAAAUAGGACAUGCAACGUCCCUUACAAUGGAUUUCAUGCCAUUACUCAGUACCCCACUGAUAUAAUAAAAGGCUGACUCAUUUCCUUUC